AACGAACGCUGGCGGCAUGCCUAACACAUGCAAGUCGAACGAGACCUUCGGGUCUAGUGGCGCACGGGUGCGUAACGCGUGGGAAUCUGCCCUUGGGUUCGGAAUAACAGUUAGAAAUGACUGCUAAUACCGGAUAAUGUCUUCGGACCAAAGAUUUAUCGCCCAGGGAUGAGCCCGCGUAGGAUUAGCUAGUUGGUGAGGUAAAGGCUCACCAAGGCGACGAUCCUUAGCUGGUCUGAGAGGAUGAUCAGCCACACUGGGACUGAGACACGGCCCAGACUCCUACGGGAGGCAGCAGUGGGAAUAUUGGACAAUGGGCGAAAGCCUGAUCCAGCAAUGCCGCGUGAGUGAUGAAGGCCUUAGGGUUGUAAAGCUCUUUACCCGGGAUGAUAAUGACAGUACCGGGAGAAUAAGCCCCGGCUAACUCCGUGCCAGCAGCCGCGGUAAU
rnacentral:rRNA from 1 species